GACAGAGGCCCCGAGCGUUAGGCGGAAUCACUGGGCUUAAAGCGUGUGUAGGCGGACCGGUAAGUACCUUGUGAAAUCCCACGGCUCACCCGUGGAACUGCUGGGUAUACUGCCGGUCUUGGGCCAACCAGGGGCGACUGGAACAAGCGGUGGAGCGGUGAAAUGCGUAGAUAUCGCUUGGAACGCCGACGGUGAAAACAGGUCGCUGGGGUUGUGCCGACGCUGAGACACGAAAGCCAGGGGAGCGAACGGG
rnacentral:rRNA from 1 species